rnacentral:rRNA from 1 species
ACUCCUACUGGAGGCAGCAGUAGGGAAUUUUCGGCAAUGGGCGCAAGCCUGACCGAGCAACGCCGCGUGAGUGAUUAAGGCCUUCGGGUUGUAAAGCUCUGUUGUAAGGGAAGAACAUUCAGGAUAGGAAAUGAUCUUGAACUGACGGUACCUUACCAGAAAGCCACGGCUAACUACGUGCCAGCAGCCGCGGUAAUAC